rnacentral:snRNA from 1 species
AGCUUUGUGCAGUGGCAAUAUUGUUAGCCAAUGAGGUUUAUCCAAGGCACGAUUAUUGCUAAUUGAAAGA